GAUCAAUUUUCUCUCAGGAGGCUCCUCAUUGACUCAUGCAAACAGAUUUCUGGCAGGAACUGCUCCAAAGCCUUCCAGAUGUUCACAGGCAUGGAUGAAUCAGAGCAAAAAUGGACAGAUGCAACUGAAAUGGAGGGUUCUGCUAUAAUCUCAAUCCGUACCCAGGCUGGAGUGCAGUGGCAUGAUCUUGGCUCACUGCAACCUCUGCCUCCCAGGUUCAAGCGAUUCUCCUGCCUCAGCCUCUCGAGUAGCUGGGAUUACAGGCAACUACCAUUUAUCCCCCCUCUGUCUUUCUGUGUUCACCUGACAAGCUCCUGGUGGUAGCCAAUAGCUCUGACAGAGAGUGACAGAAAUAAGGGGCGGGUUUAGCUGAUAACCUCACCAGUCUUCACUUCGACUCUUCCUUCACUGCCCCUUCAGUUGUGCGGACCUUCCUUUUGGGCAUCUUGGCAGCAGGGAGGGCGCCUGAGUGUACUGGUGCCGGCAGGCUUUGAGCACGGGGAGCCUUCUUGAAGCAGGGCUGCCUGGCCACUUGGAAAAAGGUGGAUUAAUUUGGGAUAUCCGAGGAGCCCCAGAGGGCCAUUGUAAUUCAAGAUCUUCAGUAAAGUUUUGCCACGGAGAAAGAACCAGGCCAGUAUUGGGACCAUGGUGGUGGCGCAGGAUUGGAGGAACAGAGGUUUCAGUUGACUGAGAAGUUCCUGUGAGAGAAACAGCCUGAAAUAGGGAGAACAGAAAGAUGUCGUGAGGAGUCAGGAAAGAAAAUUUUCCAGGGGUCAGGGUAUGAAUUCCAAUCAGAACAAGGAGCCAGCAAGAACUUCCAGCCUAGGAGGUACUUUUCAAAAGAAGCCUGGGACUCUAACCCAGCUUCCGAGAGUAUACUCAGAAUUUUAAGAAUCAGGCGGGGCGCGGUGGCUCAUGCCUGUAAUCCCACACUUUGGAGGCUGAGGCGGGCGGAUCACCUGAGGUCGGGAGUGUGAGAUCAGCCUGAUUAAUAAGAUGAAGCCCCAUCUCUACUAAAAAAAUACAAAAUUAGCUGGGCAUCGUAGUGCACGCCUGUAAUCCCAGCUACUUGGGAGGCUUAGGCAGGAGAAUUGCUUGAACCCGGGAGGUGGAGGUUGCAGUGAGCCGGGAGGUGGAGGUUGCAGUGAGCCAAGAUCGCGCCAUUGCACUCCAGCCUGGGCAACAAGAGUGAAACUCUGCCUGGG